CCUACGGGAGGCUGCAGUGGGGAAUUUUGCGCAAUGGGGGAAACCCUGACGCAGCAACGCCGCGUGAGUGAUGAAGGCCUUCGGGUCGUAAAGCUCUGUCAGAGGGGAAGAAGUGUGGGGUGGCUAAUAUCCAUUUCACUUGACGGUACCUUCAAAGGAAGCACCGGCUAACUCCGUGCCAGCAGCCGCGGUAAUACGGAGGGUGCGAGCGUUGUUCGGAAUUAUUGGGCGUAAAGCGCGUGUAGGCGGUUUUUUAAGUCUGAUGUGAAAGCCCUGGGCUCAACCCGGGAAGUGCAUUGGAAACUGGGAGACUUGAAUACGGGAGAGGGCAGUGGAAUUCCUGGUGUAGGAGUGAAAUCCGUAGAUAUCAGGAGGAACACCGGUGGCGAAGGCGGCUGCCUGGACCGAUAUUGACGCUGAGACGCGAAAGCGUGGGGAGCAAACAGGAUUAGAUACCCGGGUAGUC
rnacentral:rRNA from 1 species